rnacentral:rRNA from 1 species
AGUGAACGCUGGCGGUAGGCCUAACACAUGCAAGUCGAACGGCAGCACAGGAGAGCUUGCUCUCUGGGUGGCGAGUGGCGGACGGGUGAGGAAUACAUCGGAAUCUACUCUGUCGUGGGGGAUAACGUAGGGAGACCUACGCUAAUACCGCAUACGACCUACGGGUGAAAGCAGGGGAUCUUCGGACCUUGCGCGAUUGAAUGAGCCGAUGUCGGAUUAGCUAGUUGGCGGGGUAAAGGCCCACCAAGGCGACGAUCCGUAGCUGGUCUGAGAGGAUGAUCAGCCACACUGGAACUGGGACACGGUCCAGACUCCUACGGGAGGCAGCAGUGGGGAAUAUUGGACAAUGGGCGCAAGCCUGAUCCAGCCAUACCGCGUGGGUGAAGAAGGCCUUCGGGUUGUAAAGCCCUUUUGUUGGGAAAGAAAUCCAGCUGGCUAAUACCCGGUUGGGAUGACGGUACCCAAAGAAUAAGCACCGGCUAACUUCGUGCCAGCCGCCGCAGUAA